GUCUCAGUAGCUCAGCAGCAGAGCAUCUGCUUGGCUUGCAGAAGGUCCCAGGUUCAAUCCUGGGUCAUCUCCA